UUCUAUGUUCAUGCCUCCCUGAACAAGCCCGAUCCUGUCUGACUUAUAUCAGAAGCUAAGCAGGGUCGGGCUUGAUUAGUACUUGGAUGAGAGACCACCUAGAGAUCAGAUGCUGUAGCGU
rnacentral:rRNA from 1 species